UUAUAGCUCCAAACGUAUUUAUGGUGUUUUUCUCUUCACUUUUCCAAAGAUGUUUUUCCUCUCUCCUACAGCCUGGAUUGCAACUACAGUGGUACCUCGAAAUACGAAUUUAAUUCGUUCCAGAGCCGAGCUGAAAAAAAUAAUGGGACAAGGCUCCUCUGAGAGUGUGCGGAGGGAGGUUGAUGAAAGAUUUGAUUACACCUUGGCCCUCAUGCAGGGCAGAAGUCGCCUGCUCUUCCAGCAUUAUGCUGUCUACUACGG